AUAAAUGAUGAACAACGGGUCUACUGAGACUAACCCGACGGGGUUGGUUUGUGAGGAGCCGUUGGAGCACUGAUA
rnacentral:snoRNA from 2 species